UACGAAGGGGGCUAGCGUUGUUCGGAAUUACUGGGCGUAAAGCGCGUGUAGGCGGGUCUUUAAGUCAGGGGGUGAAAUGCCAAGGCUCAACCUUGGAACUGCCUUUGAUACUGGAGACCUUGAGUCCGGGAGAGGUGAGUGGAAUUGCGAGUGUAGAGGUGAAAUUCGUAGAUAUUCGCAAGAACACCAGUGGCGAAGGCGGCCAACUGGACCAAUACUGACGCUGAGGCACGAAAGCGUGGGGAGCAAACAGG
rnacentral:rRNA from 1 species